AUCCUUUUGUGGUUCAUGAGGACUGAAUUUUCACACGAAUGUGUGAGAUAUGCCUCUCUCAAACCUUGUUACCUUAUCAUCACAUUACAAUCUCACA
rnacentral:snoRNA from 1 species